GACGAACGCUGGCGGCGUGCCUAAUACAUGCAAGUUGAGCGCUGAAGGUUGGUACUUGUACCAACUGGAUGAGCAGCGAACGGGUGAGUAACGCGUGGGGAAUCUGCCUUUGAGCGGGGGACAACAUUUGGGAACGAAUGCUAAUACCGCAUAAAAACUUUAAACACAAGUUUUAAGUUUGAAAGAUGCAAUUGCAUCACUCAAAGAUGAUCCCGCGUUGUAUUAGCUAGUUGGUGAGGUAAAGGCUCACCAAGGCGAUGAUACAUAGCCGACCUGAGAGGGUGAUCGGCCACAUUGGGACUGAGACACGGCCCAAACUCCUACGGGAGGCAGCAGUAGGGAAUCUUCGGCAAUGGACGAAAGUCUGACCGAGCAACGCCGCGUGAGUGAAGAAGGUUUUCGGAUCGUAAAACUCUGUUGGUAGAGGAGAACGUUGGUGAGAGUGGAAAGCUCAUCAAGUGACGGUAACUACCCAGAAAGGGACGGCUAACUACGUG
rnacentral:rRNA from 1 species